rnacentral:rRNA from 1 species
ACGUUCGACACCUAUGGGAGGCAGCAGUUGGGAAUAUUGGACAAUGGAGGAAACUCUGAUCCAGUGACGCCGCGUGAAGGAAGAAGGUCUUCGGAUUGUAAACUUAUUUUGUCAGGGAAGAAAAAAUGACUGUACCUGAAGAAAAAGCACCGGCUAACUACGUGCCAGUAGCCGCGGUAAUCUGAGCGGGCGUGGCAAGGC